rnacentral:lncRNA from 12 species
GUUAAAGUGAAUUUUGUAGGCUACGUGAUGGUUACAUUGAGUUUGUUCUGUUUCACUGUUUCAGGCACUCACAGGCACUGGACAGCUAAGCAGCAGAUCUGCUGGGAGGUGGUCAGAUUUUUGGAGCCUUAGGGAAGUACUGUACCUUUUGAAUGGUGUUCAGGGAAUUGAGAGUGCUCAACAUGAUUUGCAAUGAAUCACUGGCUUCUGAAGGACUGAACCUCAGGUUGGGACUCUGCACAGCCCUGAGUUCUGGACCUACCAUUACCACCCUCUCUAGGAUAUGCCACCACUCAGACUUACAGAGAUCUUCAAGUCUAUCAGGUACAGAGUACUUCAUUAUGUGCACGAACAGAAAUGCUUAAAUGGAUGAAGCAGCUAUUUACGUCUGAUAGGAGCUAAGUGGGACAUUAAAUUAAUGCCAAACAAGUGAGUGCUCAUUUUAGUUUUGUUAUAAAUGGCUGCAGCACAGCAGUAAUGUGUUGACU